GUUCAGACUAAAUUGUGUUGUGAGUGUACACAUAUGUAUUUGACAAUUCAAUAAAACGAAAUCUACAGCAAUUCGUUAACGUCUUCAAAUGAAUCUACACGAAAAGGACCCGGGAAAAGUCGAGGAGCUUAAGCAGGAAAGCGAACCUUGGGACUACACCGGAAAAAACAUUACGAAGAAUAUAUUAUAAAGUAUGUAAUUAUCUAGGUGGUGGUGGUGAUAGGACCUCUUGUGAGUAUAUCUCAAGAUGGGUGGCGCAUUUACAUCGUAGAUGCCUAUGCGCUCCAGUAACCACUUAACACCAGGCUCGUCCACCCACCUAAGCAAUAAAAAAGAAACAAUCUAACAUAACAAAAUUAAA